UGGGACGCCGCCUCAAUGUGGCCUGACGAGCGGUGCCAUGUCCGCGCCCAGGAUCCGAACCCUGGGCCACUGCAGAGGAGCGCGCGAACUUAACCACUCGGCCACGGAGCCGGCCCCCAUAACAGGAUUUUUAAGGAUAUUUCUCACAUAAAGAUGAAACCAGCUCUUCUUUUUCUUAUCUCCCAAGACAAGAUCAUCGUGAAGGGAAUUUUCAGAAUAUCCUAAUUAUUUUUCUAUGUUGCCAAUUGUUUCUCUAUAGAGUUUGUGCUCUGGUCAGAACUCAAAUUUGAAGGGAAACCAGAAAAUGUGGUUGUUUGGGGAAACUUUCUAUGAGACAGGAGAAAGCUUUUAUUUUUUAUUUUUUUAGCUACUAAUACUUUUACAACACUUUAAAUGUCUAACCACCUAACUAAUCUCAUUCAAUCUUCCUAACAACUGUAUGAGGGAGCUGUUUUUGUUUUUUAAUUCCUAUUUUAUAAAUGAGAAAACUGAGGCACAAGAAAUGUACAACUGCCUGAAGGUCACAUGAAGAAGGGAGAACUGGAACUCUGAACUAAAGCUGGUACUCUUUCCUUGAUGUAGUGCUUUUCACCUGGAAAUAACCUAAACCAGGGCCUUGAGGAGAGUCAAGCCUGAUUCUCCUGCAGCCCCUUCUCUCCUUCUAGCAAAUGGGCCCCAGACCAUUUCUCAUUCUCUUGAACUAAAGGUUGAGAGCUUUCACCCAACUGGAUUCAGUACCUACCUGGCCAUGCCUCCCUCCUAAGAGAAUACUGAGAGCUGAGAGGACACUCAGAGACUGCAGCAGUGCUAGCAAUGGGGAGACACCUACCACGCGGCUUCAUACACCCUUCUUUCAAGGACAAAGUCUUUUUUCCAGCUGACUGGGGUCUUGGGACAACAUGGAAAUAUGAAGAACUGGUAUCUCAUCAGAAAACUGACAUCGUUCACUAUACACAUCAGCUGUGGGCUUUGAAAUGGAAGCCAAGAGGAAAUCUUUCCAUUUCUUGAUGUAUGCCCUUUAAAAUGGAACCUACUGAAGACCCCCCAGUGGAAAUCCAACAGGGUAGGUCUGGCAGUUAAUAGAGAUUAGAAGUGCCUGCUCAU
rnacentral:lncRNA from 1 species